rnacentral:lncRNA from 1 species
GGAGAUGUUCCUUAAAGAGUCUUUUCAUUUUGCAUAUAAUUCUAAUUAUAGAUGUGAUUUGCUCAUCCAGCCAGGUAGACUACACCUGCAGAAAGCGCAGGGUCGGUCGGCGACUCCCCUGCCUCACCCGCCCCGCAGGGGGGCUGAGGGACAGAAGGGGCUUUGUUCUCAUUAGCAAAAUUCAUUUUCUUCCUGAUAAGGAGAGAAAUAAAAACCACGCAUUCUCCCCCACAGACUCUGAGUGCAAGCCUCUGGGUGACGAGACAACCGCGGUUCUGCCCCAGAGCGGGCUGCGCUGCGCUCCCGCUCUGAUGAUGGAACCUGCAGUCGCCUCCUCCCACCUGCCGGCAGUCAGGUCAGCAGGAGGGCUGGUGGAAUCGAAGCCAUCAAGGACUGAAGUUCCUUUGGAGGCGCUUUCCUGCUAAGUACGGUCCAUGCUGUUGCAGUUCUCUAAAACUUAGGGCAACAGCCAGUCAUGGACGAAACGACUGCUGUCCGUCUCCUCCAUCCCCUCCGAAGAAAGGAAAGAAAGGAAAAGACAAGACAGAGAGAGUUCCCCUCUAUCUCCCGAGGGGCCAACCAGGCCGUCCGCGGGGGGGGGACUUGCUUGCUCGGGGAAAAGUUACGUGCUGCUCCUCAUCCUGUUUCAGAGGUGGCCUGAACUGGAGCCCCACUCAGCCUUUGGCUGGAAAAGCCCAGUCGUGGGAGCCGAGGCUGGCUCCAAGGGGAGAUCAAAGGUGUGUGCUUACCUGGAGCUGAAGACCUCUGGCUGCUUUUGCCCCCCAGGGCCUGGGGAAGGAGAUGGGCCCUGCCCCCUUGCAGUGGCCUGCAGCUGGAAUUGCCAGAUACGAUCCGAAGGUCCAGGUACUUCUGCAAUUUCAGAUAAAUGAUCUGCUGCCACCUCUCUGUCAGAUGACUUUUCCGAAAGAGGUGAGGAAGGAACAGAUGACAGAGCCGGACAGUGAACAGGGAGGCUCUCCUUGCAUCCUGCUCCUCCUGAGCCUGCCUCACCAUCCCCACACCCACGGUGGGUGCUCAGUUUGCAGAAGAAAGAGAAGAAGGAAGAUGAGGGAGAAGGGACAAGAGUGCCAGCCAGGGGACAUGGGACUCCCAGAAAUAAGAAGCAUGGCGAGUAUUUCUUUUUUUUACCUUUUUGGUUUUUUAGGGCUAUGUCUGCGGCAUAUGGAGGUUCCCAGGUUAGGGGUUGAAUCGGAGCUGCAGCUGCUGUAUCUGAGCUGUGUCUGCGACCUACACCACAGCUCACGGCAACGCCAGAUCCCCAAGACACUGAGCAAGGCCAGGGAUCGAACCCGAGUCCUCAGAAAUGCUAGCUGGGUUCAUUAACCACUGAGCCACAAUGGGAACUCCAUGGUGUGUAUUUCUUAAGUGGUUUGUAUUCCACACGUUGCAAUAUCUCAGCAUAGCUCUUAAGACCACACAGAUGCAAGAAAAAUGGGGCUUCCUUCACUCUCCAGAGAGUGAAGGACUGUGCGUGAAUAUUCUUGUGGCAUCUCUAGACCCACAGGGGCCGCUUUAAAAACCAAGAACUGAGUCUUCACACUGGGUCUCAGGUUGUACAGACUGAGCUACUCGCUGAGGGAGGAACGAAUUAAAAUAGCCCAUUUGUGCAAAUACCAGAGUGUGCGGUUAAUCCAGCCCCUCGGGUGCCCAGGUAUUUGGUUAAAUAUUAUUGUGGGUGUGUCUGUGAAGGUAUUUCUGAUGAGAACAGCACUCGGGUCAGUAGAUGCGUAAAGCAGAGGCCUCCCCGGUGUGGGGGGCCUCGCCCCAGCUGCUGAAGGUCUGGAGGAGUGAAGGCUGAGUAUGGGGGCUCUUCUCGCGACCCAACUGUCUUUGAGCAGCGGGGGCGGGGGGCUCCUCCCUCUGCCUUGAGACACAGACUCGGGCUAGAACCACACGGUGAGCUCUCCUGGGCCGGACUGCAUGUCUUGGUGCUUCUCGGCCUCCAAAGUCUCCAGAGCCAAUUUCACACACACACACACACACACACACACAGAGUCAUUGUGACAGGUUGGGGUUUUGCGUGGUAGUUGCGGGCAUUAAGUUUCCAGUUACGGUGACAUCAGAAUUCUGACGGAGGGAGGAAGGGACGUCCCUGGCGACCGCGUGCUGACGGCUUCGAGACUAAACAAGCUUUGCUUGGACACCACUGCCCGCGCUGUCCGUGCUCACCGCCCUGGGGCUCCGAGCGGCCUGGUCGAGGUGGUGUCAGGCUGGCAGAGCAAAAUCACUGCUACGUGACUCUCAACUGUGAAAUUCUGCAGUCACGCUAUGAGUUGCUCCCCUUAACAAUUGUGCGGCUUCCAGACUCCUGGGAAGGUGAAAAUGAUUUAGAGUUUAUGGGGAGGAGUGUGGUUUCAUCACAAAAACGGGGCUGCUGUGACGGCCAAGGGGGCCACUGACGGGUUCUGGUCUCUUCCCCUGUUCUGAUUUUCCUGAUUUUCAGCCUGAUGUCUUUUAAAAAAAGAAAAACAGACUUGCUUUGGGUUUUUGCGCAUCCACCAAGUCCAUUUGAAAACUUGAUUCUUGGAGAAUGGAAAUGAUUUCAUGGUUGGGAAAGAUCGUCCACAGAAAUGCUUCUUUUUUUAAGCAGUGGUUUUUGAUUCUGCAUAUUCAGAAAGAGCCGCAGUCUACAUGUGAAUAAGCUUGCCCGGUUUGAGAAGAAUUAGAUGGAGUCAAAGCGUAAGCCCUAGAAGUGGAAAGCGUGUUUCUGUGACACUGUCAGCAGCUCACGGAGGUCUUCCUGGAGUGUUCUCUCCCUGCAACAGCAGCUUUUAAUCUGCACUGGUGUUACAGAGAGUAGAGUGAUCGCAGAGACCAGUCGCAUCAAAACCCCUCCCACUGCAUGACGGAGCUGCCCUUUCCAGAUGGAGCCCUGAUUCCUCCCCCCAAAAUCUUUAAUAUAAAAGUUAAUUAGGGCCAGAGUUCCCACUGCGGUGCAGCGCGUUAAAGAUCUGGCAUUGCGGCAGCUGCAGCAUAGGGCACGGUUGCGGCUCGGAUUCAAUCCCUGGCCCAGGAACUUAUGGGUACAGGUGAAAAAGAAAGAAAAAAAAAAUUAGGGCCAAUAAUCACUGUAUUACUUCAGCUAUUGUAUACAUAUCUUCCCCAUAGAUUUGAUGAGAAAAAGAAUCCUUCUGAGACACUAGCUAUUCCUUGAGGUUUUUCCCUGAAGGGUUCCUUGCUCUUUAGUAUAAGCCAUUGUCCUGGGCCCUGUGUUUUGAGGAGUCAGUCCUAGGUGGGAUAUAUGGGUGACCAGUGCUCAUAGCUAGACCCCAGACGUAUGGCCCACCUCCCCCAGUGUCUCAAGAACCUAAGCUGGCUCCCCGUCCGCUGCAUCAGCUCAACGCUUGCUGGAUUCCUGAUCCCAUGCACACUCCUCCCCACAUUCCCACUCUCACUCUGGAUGGAUUUUCUGCCUCCCCUGCCUCCCCGAUCCCAGCCCAGGUUUCUCUUUGCCCCAUUUUGAGUCCUGACUCCAUCCAGAAGCAUCCUAAGUCCAUCUCAAUCCACCAUUCUAGUUCCCUGUUCUUCAGUAGAAGUGGUUCUUCAUGGCUUCAUUUGUUUGUUUACCCAUCAAAUGUGUAUUAAGCCCCUCCGUUAUCAUAAGACACCAGUCCAGGCGCUGAGGACACAAGGGUAAACAAGUCACAGCCUGGAACUUUCAGGAAAGACAGUCCCACGUCCUCCCAGGGGCAAGUGGGGAGGGACCCACACGACAGGUGGGACGGUGGGAUUCCUGCUUUGGGGUUUGGCUGGGGUCCUGAGUCCUCUGGGGAUGCUCGGGCGGUCAGCGUGCGGAGGAAGUCUGAGGCAAGGGUGGGCAGGGCCUGGAUCCGGGGCCACCCCGCGGUUUCAUCACACGUCCCUGGGCUGUGAAAGGGAACUGGCCGCAGCGACCAGGCAGAGGCUCCAGAAGUUUUCCACAUAUGAGAGGUUCGGAUUUAGAUGAAGGCCCUGGUGGUAGGGCUGCAGAAGAAGACAGACCUACCACUUCGGAGUGUAUUUUUUUAGGAAGCAACCACAGCUGGCAUCAGAACAGAGAGGAAUGGACUCCUAUCAGAGUUUUGGUUUCAAUGUUGUCCAAGAGUGAAGAUGACCAUUAGCCUUCCCGUCAUCCUUCGAUGUGAUCGGGUAAUUAAGUCUUACUAUUUAUUGCCACCUGGUGCACGUCUGGCCUAGAGAGCCAAAUACCAAGGCCAGUCCCGCUUUGCAAUGUCACAGUCUAGUUGCAGAAACAGUCACACUGCAGUGCAGUGUCUGCAGAGAGAAGGCUGCAUCAGGUGCCAGGUCUCGGGCAGCAGCAUGCAGCGUGGAGGCUGCUGGCUGCACUUCACAAAGGCCUGGCAUUCCCGAGGAAGGGCAGUUUCAGUGAGAAGCGAAAUGGGCCAGUGGACACCAGGCUUGAUGUCAGCAGAGAGGGGAAAACUGCUCUUAAUGUUAAUAAGAGAAAAAUCGGUGACUGAUGAAAGCUUUUUUUUUUUUUUUUUUUUGCUUUUUAGGGCCACACCUGAGGCAUAUGGAGGUUCCCAGGCUAGGGGUCAAAUCAGAGCUACAGUUGCCGACCUAGGCCACAGCCACAGCCACGCCAGAUCCCUGAACCACUGAGUGAGGCCAGGGAUGGAACCUGCAUCCUCAUGGAUACUAGUGUGAUUGUUCCUGCUGCACCACAAAUGGGAAAGCAUUUUGAACAGCUAUCACUGUGUAGUACCUUGAAGCCAGUGAGUUCAGGCCCUGGCACAGGUGGCUGAUGUUGUGGUAGGCAUUUCCACUCACGCCAUCGCAUUUGACUGCAAACCUCCAGAGAGUUAGGAAUCGUUACCUCCAUUCUACAGACACAAGGCUGAGGCUGUGUGCAGGUAAGGAGCUUGCAGAAGCCUGUAGAUCCAGGAAAGUGGGACCUGAUAUGGACACCCGGGUCUCCAGAUUCCUCUCUGCAGCUCACGUGGGGUGCGAUGCUGCUGCUUUCUCCUUCUCCUGCCACCAAGACGAACGAAGAGAAUUAAUUAUUUCAAGCUUAUUUCUGCCUCCUUAAUAAACACAGGUGGACAUCUCUCCUGGCA